AACUUGGUAACUUAAAGAAUAUAGAAUGGUUACUAGACUAACGUAAAUUCAAGAGUAACAACAGAGUCCAGUCGAAAGAAAAAAAAUGAAUCAUUUGACUG